rnacentral:rRNA from 1 species
GCUCAGGAUGAACGCUGGCGGCGUGCCUAAUACAUGCAAGUCGAGCGAACAGACAAGGAGCUUGCUCCUUUGACGUUAGCGGCGGACGGGUGAGUAACACGUGGGUAACCUACCUAUAAGACUGGGAUAACUUCGGGAAACCGGAGCUAAUACCGGAUAAUAUUUCGAACCGCAUGGUUCGAUAGUGAAAGAUGGUUUUGCUAUCACUUAUAGAUGGACCCGCGCCGUAUUAGCUAGUUGGUAAGGUAACGGCUUACCAAGGCGACGAUACGUAGCCGACCUGAGAGGGUGAUCGGCCACACUGGAACUGAGACACGGUCCAAAACCAUACGGGAGGCAGCAGUAGGGAAUCUUCCGCAAUGGGCGAAAGCCUGACGGAGCAACGCCGCGUGAGUGAUGAAGGUCUUCGGAUCGUAAAACUCUGUUAUUAGGGAAGAACAUACGUGUAAGUAACUAUGCACGUCUUGACGGUACCUAAUCAGAAAGCCACGGCUAACUACGUGCCAGCAGCCGCGGUAAUACGUAGGUGGCAAGCGUUAUCCGGAAUUAUUGGGCGUAAAGCGCGCGUAGGCGGUUUUUUAAGUCUGAUGUGAAAGCCCACGGCUCAACCGUGGAGGGUCAUUGGAAACUGGAAAACUUGAGUGCAGAAGAGGAAAGUGGAAUUCCAUGUGUAGCGGUGAAAUGCGCAGAGAUAUGGAGGAACACCAGUGGCGAAGGCGACUUUCUGGUCUGUAACUGACGCUGAUGUGCGAAAGCGUGGGGAUCAAACAGGAUUAGAUACCCUGGUAGUCCACGCCGUAAACGAUGAGUGCU